GUCUACAGUGAUACCAUCCUGAACAGGCCUGAUCUUAUCUGAUCUUGGAAGCUAAGCAGGGUCGGGCCUGGCUAGUACUUGGAUGGGACACCACCUGGAAAUACCAGGUGCUGUAGGCU
ensembl:rRNA 5S_rRNA 5S ribosomal RNA